rnacentral:rRNA from 2 species
UGGCUCAGGACGAACGCUGGCGGCGUGCCUAAUACAUGCAAGUCGAGCGAACUAAUGGGAGCUUGCUCCCAAAGGUUAGCGGCGGACGGGUGAGUAACACGUGGGCAACCUGCCCUGUAGAUCGGGAUAACAUCGAGAAAUCGGUGCUAAUACCGGAUAAUUUCUAGAAUCUCAUGGUUCUAGAAUAAAAGAUGGCUCCGGCUAUCACUACGGGAUGGGCCCGCGGCGCAUUAGCUAGUUGGUAAGGUAACGGCUUACCAAGGCGACGAUGCGUAGCCGACCUGAGAGGGUGAUCGGCCACACUGGGACUGAGACACGGCCCAGACUCCUACGGGAGGCAGCAGUAGGGAAUCUUCCGCAAUGGACGAAAGUCUGACGGAGCAACGCCGCGUGAGUGAUGAAGGAUUUCGGUUCGUAAAGCUCUGUUGUUAGGGAAGAACAAGUGCCGUUCAAAUAGGGCGCACCUUGACGGACCAACCAGAAAGCACGC